AUAUCACAUUGAAAUACCGGUCCUUGUACGAUCACAGACGUUAAGCACCGUCGAGUCUAGUUAGUACCUAGAUUUUUGACCGCUUGGGAAUACCAGGUGUU